UUAAAGGGGUCAUGUGAUGUUGCUAAAAAGAACAGUUGUGAAAGUUGUGAUUGGCCGAACGCCUCAAGCGCCUGGCAUAAACGAUACGCCUCUUAUCAUAACAUGAUGUUGUGUCCUGGCACUAUGACACCAAAACAAUAAAACAUUAUAAAUGAGGCAUUUGUUGCACCCAGUGGAGACAUAAUUACUGAUUAUUAUGACUUAGUACUGUCUUAUCACUCGUAAACAUAUCACCAUGUCUGCAUUUGUGAUUGGAGAAACAACAAGAGACAACUGCAUUACAGGAUUCUGCUCAAAACUGUAUGUUUGAAAAGUAAUCAGCAGGUUCUUUUUUAUAAGAAAACGUAAAUUACUUAAAGGUUGUGAGUCAGAAGCGCCAGACUGUCCUUGCAGAGUUAUAGUUGCCCCAUUGUCUGUGUGCACCGCUAGCAUAGCAUCUCACAGGUUCAGAAAAUAGUCCUCCGUAAGUGUGCUGAAAACACUCUGAUAUCUGUGUCGAACUGUUCUGGAACAGCUUGGGAUUUGUUUUAUUAAGUUAUUAAGAAUGGAUUUGAUUGGCUGGAGUGGUGUGAAUUACUUGUGAAUUAUUGUGAUGUUUUUAUCAGCUGGACUGAUGGCACCCAUUCACUCCAGAGAAUGUGAUGUAAUGAUAAAUUUCUCCAAAUCAAAGUUUCUCCUACAUCUUAGACUGCUCAAGGGUGAGUAUAUUUUCAGAAAAUGUAAAAUUUUUGGAAAGAACAAUUACUUAGUAUUCUUUACUUAUUUUAGAAAUUUUAAGUUACAUAUAAAUAUAUCAAUAAACUUACUGUGAUGCAUAUUUGUCAGUCACACAUAUUUGAAUCAUGUAAGAUGAACUUGAGGUUUCUUCAAAUUACCUUUCUCAAAUCCUUUCCUCCAUAUAUUUUGGUCUGCUGGCCUGGAGCUAACAGCACAUCAUCAGGGGUCAAAGGUUAUAAGCAAGAGAGUGGAAAGGUAUUUUUGUGGUAACCGUAAACCACAUGGUGAAGCUGUACCCAAACAUCAUCUGUCUGUGACUUUAGAGGACCCCAGGGUAAGAAUGUCACCCUAACAAAAUCCUCAUCCUUGGUGUCACUGAGGAGCCUCCUAACAGCAACGUCGAAUUCUGGUCUGCAGCCGUGCUCAGUGACUCAGGAGAAAACAAUAUAAACCUUGAGAAACCAUCAGAAGCGUGUCACGACUCUCUGCCGUGUUAAAAUGGAAAAUGCAGCUGGGGAUGUGCCAGUGUUUACAAUGCUGAGCCGGAGAAUGCAGACGGCUCUGCAGGAUGAGGCUGAACUCACGUGUGCGUGCGCUCCGCUCUUUCCAAAACCAGCCGGAGACUGAGGAAAAGGCUCGUGAAGGAAGGAAUCUUUUCUGUAAGAGUGGAAAGACAGAAGGGCCUGGGGUUUUUGGAGUCCGGCUUGGAUGUUUAUUUGUACAGAGCUCUUCACAGUAGGGCUUUUCUUUUAAAGGACUGUUUGCACUCUUGUCAGGCUUUCUUUUCUUUUGUUUUGAGCAGAUACUUGACAUAAUACAGUGUUAGCACAGUAGCUAGAUUGUGUAUUGAAGUCGUGUCACUAAGUCAAACAUCAACAUGCACGUUCGCAUUUCGUCGUUUCUCACACUUUGAGAGAUUUGGCAGUGAGCCGCUUUCCCUUUCCCCCUUUCUGUCAGUUUCUAUCAGGGCUUCAAGGUCCCACAGGUUUCAUUCAGUGCCAGCACAGAUGACUCGGCCUGUAUCUCAUUCAUAUGUUUGCUUACAUGCCCUUUUCUCUGCAUGCAAAUAGUAUGCAAAGAUGGACAGAAAAUACAAAAUCAAUUUUUCUUUUAUUGGACACCACACACAGACUGUUCCUGUUAUCACCACACUUAGGCCAGCACUAGUUUCUGUAAAUAAUAUAUACUGUAUAAAAUCCAAGCCUAUCUGGUUAAUCAGCUACGGUGCGAUCCCAAACGAUAUUGCCAGACCAACCAGCUAGAAACCAGCUGCCAUGUUCCAGAACAAAGCUUCAAGUCGGAUUUAAUAUAUAAUGGGUUAAAAUAUACUUUAAAUGUAUUGGUAUCUUUGCUUUAUUGUUUAAAUUAUUUGUGGUAAAGCUGGUCAAGCGAGAAAAUACUGUAACAUACAGAUGAAAAUACAGAUAUUACAUUGAUAUGCGUUCAUAUGAUGUCUUUAUUACUUUUAAUGUUGGAUUUUAUAGAAUUUUUGUGUAUGUAUUUUGCGUAUAUAUUAAUAUAUACAUUAAAGUCGUAUGCUAAAGGCUCUCUAAAAGGCCCCAGCCCCCUGGUUGAGAGAGACUGUUUUAGGAACUAUACUGUCAACUAUUUUGUUUAUUUUCUAUCCAUAAAUAAAGAUAGCCCCGAAUGAUAGCAAGGUAAAAUCAACUGUAUAUGUCGCACAACAACAUACAUGCAAUUGGCAAAAAGAAAUAUAAACACGUUUGGAGCGCUGCGACCAAUCAGAUUAGAAGACCAGACCAAACUUAUACACAUGUUCAUGGUAUACAGCAAGACAGCAAGAAGAUGAGAACAAGAUACACAAAAAAAGAAGGGGAAAUGAAAGGCCUUGGAACUGAAAAACUGGUAACAGAGACUAAAUAAAUCACACCAAUAGAGCAGCACUGGGGUACAGAUGGGGAGCAGGUCUGGAAAACCCGCUGACCUCAGAAGAAAGACAGUUUGAGAAGUGAACAGACAGCUUUAUUGUCCUCCAAUCGUUUCAUUAUUAAAUCAAUCAGCUUACUCAAGGAUACAUCUCCAUGCUGACUGCACUGCGACGUCAAAAUGAGUACCACUAUUGUAUUCAUAAUCCACUGGACUCGCGCUGAACCCAGCGAGGGGCUCUGAAAUGAGUGUGAAUGAGGAGAGAGAGAGAGAGAGAGAGAGAGAGAGCGGGGCUUCGUUCUCAACCGUCUGCCAGCGCCGUGAACCCUGGAGGAAUGGAACCUGGCAAAUAAACCGCAACCGCUGCAAGCCUUUCACUCUGCAACCAGAAACUCUUUAUAUAUCGCGCUCCACUGUCAUUCUCCGCUGUUUUCUGAGUCACAUUUUUCCUGCACGUGCAACCAAAUGCGCUAUCAUGUUUUUUCCUUUCCGUUCCUCUAAGAUUUUUAAUGUACUGCCUUUACGUGAAUGUGGAGCAUAUGUGUCGGACAGAGAGAGAGAGAGAGAGAUCCAGAGAAAGUGCCUGCGGGUCGCCCAGCCCAGGGGCGGUGGGGAUCUGUAAGCAAAAACAGCGCUGUUGCUAAGACACGUUCAAAAUAUAAACAAAGGCACAACCCUGCGAGCCGAACAAGGGCUGUUUCAGCUGGAGUCCCGCUCGAGUUUGGAAAACAUCAUUGUGAGAGGUGAGGGAGAGGGCUGUUCUCCGUGUUUUCUGCGAAAGGAUGUUGUCAGCCAGCGGCCGCUCGCAGGUGUUUGCUGGGGAAGUGCCUCUAUAGCUGCAAGGCCUUUGUUUUCCAAGAUCCUAAACGCUGGAUGGGCUUUAUGAGAAACCCAGCUGUCAAUCAAAUCUCCCAGAUAACAUACCCUAGCAAAAUUACAUAAAAGCACCAUGUUAUUACCGUGAAAAUAUCCCACGGAAAACAUUUGGUGAUGGAUGCUUUCAUUUGGACACGUGACGGUAAUGCAUGGCCAUUCUGUGAAAUACCUUACAUUACACUCUCAGGACAAAAUGUGCAAAAGCUGUCACUAGGGCAUUACCGUUUAAUAAAAAAAACACUUUUGUACCUUAUGUAAACAUAAAGAGUGUUUUUUUAGUAUCUCAAAUUAAUUUGUACAUAUUUGCACCUAAAGUGUAUGUAUAAUAUGAAAAUGGUACAUAUUAGUUUCUUUUGAAAAGGUACCACCCUAGUGACAACUUCUGAGGGUGUACCGUGGUGUAA